rnacentral:rRNA from 1 species
UUAACUGGGCGUUCAGUCUCUGGAUAUAGACCCGAAACCAGGUGAUCUAGCCAUGGGCAGGUUGAAGGUUGAGUAACAUCAACUGGAGGACCGAACCGACUAAUGUUGAAAAAUUAGCGGAUGACUUGUGGCUAGGGGUGAAAGGCCAAUCAAACCUGGAGAUAGCUGGUUCUCCCCGAAAGCUAUUUAGGUAGCGCCUCGGACGAAUACUACUGGGGGUAGAGCACUGUUAAGGCUAGGGGGUCAUCCCGACUUACCAACCCUUUGCAAACUCCGAAUACCAGUAAGUACUAUCCGGGAGACACACGGCGGGUGCUAACGUCCGUCGUGGAGAGGGAAACAACCCAGACCGCCAGCUAAGGUCCCAAAUUACUACUAAGUGGGAAACGAUGUGGGAAGGCUCAGACAGCCAGGAUGUUGGCUUAGAAGCAGCCAUCAUUUAAAGAAAGCGUAAUAGCUCACUGGUCGAGUCGGCCUGCGCGGAAGAUGUAACGGGGCUAAGUAGUAAACCGAAGCUGCGGCAAUAUACUUUUGUAUAUUGGGUAGGGGAGCGUUCUGUAAGCGGUUGAAGGUGUGUGGUAACGCAGGCGGGACGGAUCAGAAGUGCGGAUGCUUACAUGAGUGACGAUAAAGGGGGUGAAAAACCUCCUCGCCGGAAGACCAAGGGUUCCUGUCCAACGUUAAUCGGGGCAGGGUAAGUCGACCCCUAAGGCGAGGCCGAAAGGCGUAGUCGAUGGGAAACGGGUUAAUAUUCCCGUACUUCUUACAAUUGCGAUGGGGGGACGGAGAAGGCUAGGUGGGCCUGGCGACGGUUGUCCAGGUUCAAGUGCGUAGGCUUAAGAGUUAGGUAAAUCCGGCUCUUUUUAAGGCUGAGACACGACGUCGAGCACCUACGGGUGUGAAGUCAUUGAUGCCAUGCUUCCAGGAAAAGCCUCUAAGCUUCAGAUU